CGCUGGCGGCGUGCUUAACACAUGCAAGUCGAACGAGGUGAUUGAAAGCUUGCUUUGAGAACCGAGUGGCAAACGGGUGAGUAACGCGUAGACAACCUGCCGCAAAGAUGGGGACAACAGUCCGAAAGGACUGCUAAUACCGAAUGUUGUCAGAUUCCCGCAUGGGAGACUGAUUAAAGAUGGCCUCUACUUGUAAGCUAUCGCUUUGCGAUGGGUCUGCGUCUGAUUAGCUAGUUGGUGGGGUAACGGCCUACCAAGGCGACGAUCAGUAGCCGGUCUGAGAGGAUGAACGGCCACAUUGGAACUGAGACACGGUCCAGACUCCUACGGGAGGCAGCAGUGGGGAAUCUUCCGCAAUGGGCGAAAGCCUGACGGAGCAACGCCGCGUGAGUGAAGAAGGGUUUCGGCUCGUAAAGCUCUGUUGACGGGGACGAAUGUGCGAAAUGCGAAUAGUUUUUCGCAAUGACGGUACCCGUCGAGGAAGCCACGGCUAACUACGUGCCAGCCGCUGC
rnacentral:rRNA from 1 species